UAGGGAAUAUUGGACAAUGGGCGCAAGCCUGAUCCAGCCAUGCCGCGUGAGUGAAGAAGGCCCUCGGGUUGUAAAGCUCUUUUGUCCGGAAAGAAAAGCGCCGGGUUAAUACCCUAGUGUCCUGACGGUACCGGAAGAAUAAGCACCGGCUAACUUCGUGCCAGCAGCCGCGGUAAUACGAAGGGUGCAAGCGUUACUCGGAAUUACUGGGCGUAAAGCGUGCGUAGGUGGUUUGUUAAGUCUGAUGUGAAAGCCCUGGGCUCAACCUGGGAAUUGCAUUGGAUACUGGCAGGCUAGAGUGCGGUAGAGGGUAGUGGAAUUCCCGGUGUAGCAGUGAAAUGCGUAGAGAUCGGGAGGAACAUCUGUGGCGAAGGCGACUACCUGGACCAGCACUGACACUGAGGCACGAAAGCGUGGGGAGCAAACAGG
rnacentral:rRNA from 1 species